AAUCUGUUGUUCAGACUUCAGCUCUGAGCUCUGAAGUCGUCUAGGUUCCGUCAUAAGUGAGCUUGGAUCCAUUUGGUUUGUGCAGAACAUCAGGCUAGCGAAACUCAACCCCUUCAGAGAGUGUCACACGUGUCAAGGAGGAUCCCAGGGUUUCUGGUGGUCGUGGGGCUGGGUGGAUUUGAUUGUGGAUCUUGGAAAGAUUUGUUUUCACUAAAAUGUGAGAGACUCCUUCCUCAGCUGUUUGGAGAAGGAACUUUGUGAAAAGGCAGGCAAAAUGCCCUUGAAGGGAAGCCCCAUAUAGAAGUCUGUUUCCAGG
rnacentral:lncRNA from 1 species